CUCGUAGGUGGUUUGUCGCGUUGUUCGUGAAAACUCACAGCUUAACUGUGGGCGUGCGGGCGAUACGGGCAGACUAGAGUACUGCAGGGGAGACUGGAAUUCCUGGUGUAGCGGUGGAAUGCGCAGAUAACAGGAGGAACACCGGUGGCGAAGGCGGGUCUCUGGGCAGUAACUGACGCUGAGGAGCGAAAGCGUGGGGAGCGAACA
rnacentral:rRNA from 1 species